rnacentral:misc_RNA from 1 species
GCUGGACACAACAUUUUUUGCACGGAAGCCUUGGAAAACUCACUCUGACUACGGGACAUGGAGGAAGGUAAUGUGUGAGAAUAUCAGAAACUAUAGCAUGAAUGAUUGCAGGUCCACCUGUGAAUACAUCUCCUCACCAUUAUAGCCGAAUGAUUCAAACAAAACAAAGGAAUCACAGUGAGCAAUGAAAGGCUCCUCGUUGAACAAAAAUGCAUCACUGCAUGGUGGCACCAUUGGAGAUUCAAUGUAAUAGUUCAUGCUCUGUGCAUCCUGCAUCCAGGUAUCGGUAACAGUAUUCUCUUCUUUCUGUUCUUUCUUUCCAUCCGAUUCUUCUGGGUUGCUUUUUUGACUAGUGCUGCAAGUGGUCUGAGAAUCUCGUUGGCUCUUGUUCUUGUACUUGUCAUCG